GGGGGUAUAGCACAGUGGUAGAGCAUUCAACUUGCGAUCGAGAGGUCCACGGUUCAAACCCGGGUGCCCCCU